ensembl:lncRNA
GGGCUGGGGCUGCUGGUGCUGGCGUCACGCGAGCGUGUGUUUAUUUGGCUGCUUUCACGUCUCGGUUCUCAUGAUGGGUGCCCCGAGUCCUUUCCACCUGGUUCCCUUGCAAGAUUUGUUAUUGACAUGAGCAAUGGAAGGGUGUACAAGCCUGUGGGUAUCUCUGGUGCACACUGGAGCUUGGUGAUUCCCCACGUCUCCAGCAAGUCCUGCAGGUGUCCGUUGAGCAAAGUCUUGGUCAUGUGCCACUAAGCGGUCCCCACACUUGGUGGUGAUGGCUUGAGGAGGGCUCAGAGCUGCUCCUCCAGCAGCAGCACGAGGACCUGCAGCCCCUUGGGCCCCCUGCCCCUUGGUGCUCCGUUUUCUAUGCCUGUUUGCUGGGUCAGCAGCGCUGUGGUGUUGAGGUUCGGUUGGGUUGGUUGUUGUAAACUCUCCUCCGUUAUCUGUGAAAUCCAAACUCUUCAGUUUCUGGGAUCUGUGUGCUGGCGUGGCCAGCUCCGGCGCGUGGUUUCUGUUGCUCACCAUCACCUUUUCUGUCCUGUCAGCCCUGCUGUUUGCCUUUCCCAGAUGCUGUGAGCUUUGAAACGCAGCAGAAACCAAUUCCUGCUAGAUCCCAGCCGUGCUGCUCUGUGAUGGCCAGUGGUUGGCACCGGGGAGCACCAGCUGGCUCAGCCAAGGCAGGAAUUGCUUCCUGCUUGGGAAAAAAAUAAGUUAUCUUCAAAAUCAUGUCUGUGAUGCAUGCUGUUUUACCUUGAGGAGAGCAUCAUCUCGGCACGUAGCAUCCUUUCCCCCUGACACGGAGCUGCUUGGAGCACUGAUGCUCAUAGCCAGGAGCUUUCCUGCGUGCCACUUUUGCUCUCAAUUUGGUGUUCUCAAUGCAUUGCUGCGGUGCGCGGAGCUGCCGGAGCACUGUCCUGGAGAUCUGUGUGCCCUCAGCCAUUUGUUUCUGUACAGAGGCUGUUUACAAGGGAGAUGACUGAGGUCAGGAGGGGAGAGAACGAGGCUGAACCCAAUGUAAAGCUGCUACAAAACUUCACACGGAGGUGUGAGGCUGGGAGGUGGCCGGGGAAGGAGCCCCGCGGCUUUGGCCAGCACGAGAACAAGGUUUCUGCCUUUGCACCUGCAAAACCCAGCGCAGAGAACCGAGGGGAAGGGAGCGGAAGAGCCCAAUCUGCUCCACUGGCAAGAGAUCCCAGAGCUUUAGGAAUUUGCACAAUACGUAUCGCACACAGGGUAAGGCCCCGGGACCCCCCGUGCUUUGUCCGGGGGAUGCCGAGCUGUAUCAAUCUCGACUGUUAAUCAGAAAGCUUCGUAUCGCGCGUCCAGAGCUCUAAAGCCAUUUUGUAAGAUAGCGGUGUCCCUUUUCUUACAGCCUUAGUAACCAGUAGAGUUAUCUUAAAAAAAAAAAAAAAAUUAAAAAAAAAAAAAGAAAAAGGAAAAAAAAAA